GGAAGUAAAAGUCGUAACAAGGUUUCCGUAGGUGAACCUGCGGAAGGAUCAUUAUCGAUUUUUUGAACGCGUGCUGUCGCUGGCCUCCUUCGUGGGGCAUGUGCACGCUCGUGUUUCAAUCUUCAUCACACCUGUGCACCUCUGUAGGAUCGGCGGCGACGCCUUCCUAUGUCCUUUUACACACGCAGUCAGUUCAGAAUGUAAACCAAAUGUAUAAAACAAAUACAACUUUCAACAACGGAUCUCUUGGCUCUCGCAUCGAUGAGAAACGCAGCGAAAUGCGAUAAGUAAUGUGAAUUGCAGAAUUCAGUGAAUCAUCGAAUCUUUGAACGCACCUUGCGCUCCUUGGUAUUCCGAGGAGCAUGCCUGUUUGAGUGUCAUGAAUCUCUCAAACCUCAUAGAUUUCUCGAUCUGUGGGGCUUUGGACUUGGAGGCUUUUUGCUGGCGCUCUCGAGCGUCCGGCUCCUCUGAAAUGCAUUAGUUGUGGAUGGCUUUCGCCUUUGGUGUGAUAAUUAUCUACGCCGCUGAAACGGAAACCUCACUCCUCGGCUUCGAACCGUCUUCGGACAAAACCUCUUGACGUUUGACCUCAGAUCANGUAGGAUUACCCGCUGAACUUAAGCAUAUCAAUA
rnacentral:rRNA from 1 species